rnacentral:rRNA from 1 species
UACGUAGGGACCAAGCGUUGUUCGGAUUUACUGGGCGUAAAGGGCGCGUAGGCGGCGUGGUAAGUCACUUGUGAAAUCUCUGAGCUUAACUCAGAACUGCCAAGUGAUGCUGCUGUGCUCGAGUGUGGAAGGGGCAAUCGGAAUUCUUGGUGUAGCGGUGAAAUGCGUAGAUAUCAAGAGGAACACCUGAGGUGAAGACGGGUUGCUGGGCCAACACGUGACGCUGAGGCGCGAAAGCCAGGGGAGCAAACGGG